UCGAGCUCACUUUGGCAACACAUACACUAACACCGUACAGAGAAGGUUAAUGUGGCCCCUGUACAAGGAUGACAUGCAAACUGGUGAGGCAUUUCCAUAUUUU